AGAGUUUGAUCCUGGCUCAGGACGAACGCUGGCGGCGUGCUUAACACAUGCAAGUCGAACGGAAAGGCCCCUUCGGGGGUACUCGAGUGGCGAACGGGUGAGUAACACGUGGGUGAUCUGCCCUGCACUUUGGGAUAAGCCUGGGAAACUGGGUCUAAUACCGAAUAGGACCGCAUGCUUCAUGGUGUGUGGUGGAAAGCUUUUGCGGUGUGGGAUGGGCCCGCGGCCUAUCAGCUUGUUGGUGGGGUAAUGGCCUACCAAGGCGACGACGGGUAGCCGGCCUGAGAGGGUGUCCGGCCACACUGGGACUGAGAUACGGCCCAGACUCUUACGGGAGGCAGCAGUGGGGAAUAUUGCACAAUGGGCGCAAGCCUGAUGCAGCGACGCCGCGUGGGGGAUGACGGCCUUCGGGUUGUAAACCUCUUUCAGUAUCGGCGAAGCUCCAGGAUUUUUCUUGGGGUGACGGUAGGUACAGAAGAAGCACCGGCCAACUACGUGCCAGCAGCCGCGGUAAUACGUAGGGUGCGAGCGUUGUCCGGAAUUACUGGGCGUAAAGAGCUCGUAGGUGGUUUGUCACGUUGUCCGUGAAAACUCACAGCUUAACUGUGGGCGUGCGGGCGAUACGGGCAGACUGGAGUACUGUAGGGGAGACUGGAAUUCCUGGUGUAGCGGUGGAAUGCGCAGAUAUCAGGAGGAACACCGGUGGCGAAGGCGGGUCUCUGGGCAGUAACUGACGCUGAGGAGCGAAAGCGUGGGGAGCGAACAGGAUUAGAUACCCUGGUAGUCCAA
rnacentral:rRNA from 1 species